rnacentral:rRNA from 1 species
UACGUAGGGUGCAAGCGUUGUCCGGAAUUAUUGGGCGUAAAGAGCUCGUAGGCGGUUUGUCGCGUCGAAUGUGAAAACCCGGGGCUCAACCCCGGGCCUGCAUUCGAUACGGGCAGACUAGAGUUCGGUAGGGGAGUCUGGAAUUCCUGGUGGAGCGGUGAAAUGCGCAGAUAUCAGGAGGAACACCCGUAGCGAAGGCGGCACUCUGGGCCGAUUCUGACACUGAGGAGCGAAAGCGUGGGGAGCGAACAGG